rnacentral:rRNA from 1 species
ACGGGUGAGUAAUGCGUAGGUAUCUAGCUUGUUGAUCGGGAUAGCCUAGGGAAACUUAGGGUAAUACCGGAUAAGCCCUAUGGGGGAAAGCAGGGGACCGAAAGGCCUUGCGCGAUGAGAUGAGCCUACGUCGGAUUAGCUAGUUGGUGGGGUAAAGGCCUACCAAGGCGACGAUCCGUAGCUGGUCUGAGAGGACGACCAGCCACACUGGGACUGAGACACGGCCCAGACUCCUACGGGAGGCAGCAGUGGGGAAUAUUGGACAAUGGGCGCAAGCCUGAUCCAGCAAUGCCGCGUGUGUGAAGAAGGCCCUCGGGUUGUAAAGCACUUUCAGUGGGGAGAAAGAGGCCAUUCCUAAUAUGGAUGGCGGAUGAUGUUACCCACAGAAGAAGCACCGGCUAACUCUGUGCCAGCAGCCGCGGUAAUACAGAGGGUGCGAGCGUUAAUCGGAAUUACUGGGCGUAAAGGGUGCGUAGGUGGUUCUAUAAGUUAGGUGUGAAAGUCCUGGGCUUAACCUGGGGAUUGUGCCUGAUACUGUAGAGCUAGAGUACUGUAGAGGAAAGUGGAAUUUCCGGUGUAGCGGU